rnacentral:tRNA from 1 species
UAGAUUAAGGCCAGAUGUGGGUAUUUAGUUGUUAACUAAAAGAUCGUAGGGUAAAAGCCUACUAAUCUAG